AAGAAAAGGAUCCGGUGCGAUGAGUCUCAUCCGUGUAAUAUUUUGGAAUUCCUCUUCCAACUCGUCCCGGAAUGGGCGUUAUGGCAAAGAACAA